GACGAACGCUGGCGGCGUGCUUAACACAUGCAAGUCGAACGGAAAGGCCCUGCUUGCAGGGUACUCGAGUGGCGAACGGGUGAGUAACACGUGGGUGAUCUGCCCUGCACUUCGGGAUAAGCCUGGGAAACUGGGUCUAAUACCGGAUAGGAGCCAUUUUUAGUGUGAUGGUUGGAAAGUUUUUUCGGUGUAGGGUGAGCUCGCGGCCUAUCAGCUUGUUGGUGGGGUAAUGGCCUACCAAGGCGGCGACGGGUAGCCGGCCUGAGAGGGUGGACGGCCACAUUGGGACUGAGAUACGGCCCAGACUCCUACGGGAGGCAGCAGUGGGGAAGAUUGCACAAUGGGAGCAAGCCUGAUGCAGCGACGCCGCGUGGGGGAUGACGGCCUUCGGGUUGUAAACUCCUUUCGCUAGGGACGAAGCUUUUUGUGACGGUACCUAGAGAAGAAGCACCGGCUAACUACGUG
rnacentral:rRNA from 1 species